CUACGUGCCAGCAGCCGCGGUAAUACGUAGGUGGCAAGCGUUGUCCGGAAUUAUUGGGCGUAAAGGGCGCGCAGGCGGCUUCUUAAGUCUGUCUUAAAAGUGCGGGGCUUAACCCCGUGAUGGGAUGGAAACUGGGAAGCUCAGAGUAUCGGAGAGGAAAGCGGAAUUCCUAGUGUAGCGGUGAAAUGCGUAGAUAUUAGGAGGAACACCAGUGGCGAAAGCGGCUUUCUGGACGAAAACUGACGCUGAGGCGCGAAAGCCAGGGGAGCGAACGGGAUUAGAUACCCCGGUAGUCCUGGCCGUAAACGAUGGGUACUAGGUGUAGGAGGUAUCGACCCCUUCUGUGCCGGAGUUAACGCAAUAAGUACCCCGCCUGGGGAGUACGACCGCAAGGUUGAAACUCAAGGGAAUUGACGGGGGCCCGCACAAGCGGUGGAGUAUGUGGUUUAAUUCGACGCAACGCGAAGAACCUUACCAGGUCUUGACAU
rnacentral:rRNA from 1 species